UGCCUGGAUAGGCUGUUAGAAAUCUAAAACCAAAACGCCCUCAAACACCUUAACUGCUUCUUUCUUUUCUCCGGGUCUUUUUGAUUAAUUCGUUGAUUUACAGUAGCUGUCCACUGGCUGUUCGUCGAGGUGAACCUGCAGGCCUGGUCGCUAAGUGAUGCCUAUCUUGUUUGUCAACGAAUUCAACCUGUGCGCAAAAAAAAGUCUAUAGGCUACAAGAAUCAGGUGACAAUGAAGAAAAAUGUCUUCUAGUGUUUUGAAAAGAAUUCUCCUAUCCGGUCACAAAUGUAUAUCCGAUUAGUAUAGGUCGCCUGUCUAUAUGACUCCAAUGGAGCAUAACAGACUUUUUCCGGGAGUUUAGUAUCGGCGGGCGUGUCUCCCCUGCGACUGUAGCGACUUCCUGUUUACCUGCUUUAGCCACAGUGUUGUUCAUGAUGCUGCUGCUUGCGACCGUGUCUGAGGAUGGAGCUGCUCACCCUCUGGCUCUGAACGGGACCCCAAAGAUGUGACUUGGAAGGGGCGGAAGGGUUUGCCCUCGGGCAUGGGAACUUCCACGCUGUCCUCUGACGACACAGUGACAUCUGGCUGUGAUUCAGAGAUAGACGAUAGGAACUGGUCCAUGUCAGCUUUCUGCUCCUGAAGUAGCUCGUCUGCAGAAAUGGGCAAAUGACAAAGCAUGAGAUGGCCUGGCACGUGCUACCACCUGUCAACCUGGGACAUAGCAACAAUGCAUAAGUCACACCGUCCUUGCGCAAAGCUACCUAGGGGCUUCUGACUGAACAUGACUCACCAAUUUCAUCCUGAAUGUCCUCGGCAACAUAAGGUACUUUGUAGAGCAGAGAUAGACUUUGGUUCAUCCUCUCCUCGAUGACACGCAGGUGGGUCAUCACCUGGUGUUGGAAAAACAAACACGGUGUCAUGUAACCAAAACCCUGCUAUAUUUUUAUGAUGACAUCAAAGUGAAACUGCUUCCCUGUAUGGAAAUGUUUUAUUCCCAAGAUCUUAAUAUCUAAUAAUUCAAAACAGCAUAUUGUA